rnacentral:rRNA from 1 species
UACGAAGGGGGCUAGCGUUGUUCGGAUUUACUGGGCGUAAAGCGCACGUAGGCGGAUUGUUAAGUCGGGGGUGAAAUCCUGGAGCUCAACUCCAGAAUUGCCUUCGAUACUGGCUUUCUAGAGGCUGGAAGAGGUUAGUGGAAUUCCCAGUGUAGAGGUGAAAUUCGUAGAUAUUGGGAAGAACACCAGUGGCGAAGGCGGCUAACUGGGACGUUACUGACGCUGAGACGCGAAAGCGUGGGGAGCAAACAGG